ACACACUCCUUCACACAAUCGCACCGCAAGUGUAGAUAGGGAAACCCCUCGUGCUUACCUAACGGAAGGCUUUUGUUAUGUGUAAGGAGCAUAUCGAAAAAUAGAAGGGCAAGACUGGGGCCAGCAGCCGCGGUAAUACCAGCGUCACGGGGGAAAAAAAAGGGGUUGGGGUUUUUUUUUUUUUAUAAUCUCUUGGAAAUUUUUUGUCCCAAAAAUCAAAAAAAACGGUUUACUUGGCGGGAGUAAAUUUUUUUUGGUAAGAAAAAGUUAAUCCUUACAGCAUAACUAAGGCAAAGGCAUCUUACUAAGAGGGAUCUGACAGGGAGGAACGAAAGCUGGGUUAGCAAACCGGUUUAGAUCCCCGGGUGGCCUUUGCCUAAAACCCUAGGUUUACCCUUGGCAAGAUUAACAAAAUAAACCAGGGGGGAGGCGAAGGCGAUAAACCCCCCCCCUGGAAAGAACAGCCGCGAGGCGAGAACUAAAAGAAAUUGGCGGGGGAAGGGCGAAUUCUUUUAAACCUGCAGGAUUAGUCCUUUUAGUGAGGGUAAAUCCUGACCUCGGCGUAUUCUGGGUCAUACCUGUUCUGAAG
rnacentral:rRNA from 1 species